rnacentral:lncRNA from 1 species
AAAUUUAUUUGCCGUUAUUCAUAUGUUUACAAGAGCCUGUAUUGCCUUUAAGUUCUGCAGUUGUGGCAGCUAUGUUCACAUCUGAAAAUAUUGUCGUCUCGUAUAAUGGUAGUGGAAAACUUACGAAACAUACUCUCAAAAAAUUCACAACAUUGGUUAUAGGUUCAAACCUUGGCCAACGAAAUCUAAUUUUGCACGAUUCCUGGUCUGGCUUCAAGAGCCAAGAUUUAAUGUUGGCUCCUAUUCAGGAACACUAUCCAGAGGCAGUUCUUCAAUACUUUACAAUUCCAGAUAGUACAACUGAUCUCAUUCAGCCUUUAGAC